rnacentral:misc_RNA from 1 species
AAGUCGUAACAAGGUUUCCGUAGGUGAACCUGCGGAAGGAUCAUUACAAAAACAAAAUCCAAACCACACCACUGUGCUCUUUAUUGUGAGAAAAAUGUCUUUGUGUGUUGUUUGUUGGGGGAGAGGAGAAGAAUUUAUUUUUCCCCUUUCUUUCCUUCACACACACACAAGCUUUUUUCCUCACAUGUCUUUGUUUUCAAUUUUUCAUUACUCCUUGUUUAACCAACAACGGAUUACAAUGUUAAAACUUGAAACAAACAAACAAAACAAAAUGACAACUUUUAACGGUGGAUCUCUUGGCUCGU